GAUAAUGUGAGCUUUUUCAAAGGGAGAAAGACCUUAUCACCUGGCUUCCACCCUUCCACAGGCCUCCCUGGCGCCUGGCUAGACUCUGCUUCCAGGCUGCCCAGGUGGACGAGGAGACGCAGCGGGAAUUCUCCACUCCCACCUGGGACCCAGGUUCACUACGUCAGGAUGAGUGUGUUCCACUUCUGCUGCUUGAGGUGUGCACAGUGGGAGCAGAUGAAGAUGUGGGACUCAUGGCUCAGUAAAAACUCUUCACAACAAUCAUGAGAAGGGGAAAUCACGUCUCAUUAGAAUGUGUCUGCCAUAAUAUGAGAGGAUGAUGGCACACCUGGCAGACAGACCCCAGGCUUCUGAGAACCUCAUGGAGCACUGCCACUCUGACCCCCUCACUACUGUGAUCUUCAGGUGAGAUAGAAACAAAUGUGAUAACUUGUUUUGUUGUUGUUCAGUUGCUCAGUCGUGUUCGA
rnacentral:lncRNA from 1 species